UACGUAGGGGGCAAGCGUUGUCCGGAAUCAUUGGGCGUAAAGAGCGUGUAGGCGGCUUGGUAAGUCCGCUGUGAAAGUCCAGGGCUCAACCCUGGAAAGCCGGUGGAAACUGUCAAGCUUGAGUCCGGAAGGGGCGAGUGGAAUUCCUGGUGUAGCGGUGAAAUGCGCAGAUAUCAGGAGGAACACCAAUGGCGAAGGCAGCUCGCUGGGACGUGACUGACGCUGAGACGCGAAAGCGUGGGGAGCAAACAGG
rnacentral:rRNA from 1 species